GAGUUUGAUCCUGGCUCAGGACGAACGCUGGCGGCGUGCUUAACACAUGCAAGUCGAGCGGUAAGGCCCUUCGGGGUACACGAGCGGCGAACGGGUGAGUAACACGUGGGUGACCUGCCCUCAGCUCUGGGAUAAGCCCGGGAAACUGGGUCUAAUACCGGAUAUGACCACAUGUCGCAUGGUGUGUGGUGGAAAGUUUUUCGGCUGGGGAUGGGCCCGCGGCCUAUCAGCUUGUUGGUGGGGUGAUGGCCUACCAAGGCGACGACGGGUAGCCGGCCUGAGAGGGCGACCGGCCACACUGGGACUGAGACACGGCCCAGACUCCUACGGGAGGCAGCAGUGGGGAAUAUUGCGCAAUGGGCGAAAGCCUGACGCAGCGACGCCGCGUGGGGGAUGACGGCCUCGGUUGUAA
rnacentral:rRNA from 1 species